UACGAAGGGUCCAAGCGUUAUCCGGAUUUAUUGGGUUUAAAGGGUGCGUAGGCGGCUUAUUAAGUCAGUGGUGAAAGACUUCAGCUUAACUGAAGAAUUGCCAUUGAUACUGAUGAGCUUGAAUAUACUUGAGGUUGGCGGAAUGUGUCAUGUAGCGGUGAAAUGCUUAGAUAUGACACAGAACACCGAUUGCGAAGGCAGCUAGCUAAAGUAUGAUUGACGCUGAUGCACGAAAGCGUGGGGAGCAAACAGG
rnacentral:rRNA from 1 species